ensembl:lncRNA
GUAAAAAUGGCCCGGCGUUUCUAGUGUUAAACAUGAACGGUUGAGUACUCCAGCUCUAACCAUAUCAUACCACCAUCAAGGAGUUUAACACUAUUAAUUUAAUUUAAGAAAUAGAAUAAUAAUAAAAAAGAAACACAUUUUUUAAACUGGGGAGUCGGGACCCAUUGAAUUUCUCAGGGACCCACCCAACUCACCACCUGUGGGUCCCGGGGACUCACUACAUUGAAAACCUAUCAACAUCACUGGGCUUUCAAUUGACCAUGUUGACUAUUUUGUGGGAAGUUUUUUUAUUUAUUUUUUUAGCCUUGCUUACAAUCCAACGGUUGUGACCACUUAUGCAACUGGGCUGUGAACCUUGCAAUUCUAGUUGCAUAUUUGUACACGCAAGCUUGUCCAUUUCUAUCGCCAUCACUAACACUAGCUUCAGCAUUUCCUUGUAGGCCAUUAGCUGACUUGUGUAUUGGAGCGAUGAUUUGGGUAUUUUAAAAAUGCUUGAAAACCUAAAAUAAAGCAAAAUGGGUGUCUGGUGUGCAAGAGCCAAUUUGUUGGCUUACAGUAGUCGAGGAGUUGCCGUAUGGUCAAUGCCAUCUGGAGGUUGUGGCAAUGGAGGCUUGUGGUAGAUCUGCCAUCCAAGAAAGGUUAAUUCUUCUGAAGCAUGAUUAAUAGUUUAGUAAAUUGAAUCUAUUCAUAUAGAACUAUAAAAUCCAAGACUGCAGCCAGUAACUUGGAUCGCAAUAUGUGGAAAGUAUUAGUCUUCAUUUGUAACAACAGACUAACUGGGUUUCUUCCAUUUUCUAACUAGGGGACUUGACUGGUGAGUCUACUGGAUUAAUCAGUAGCGGUACUUUUAACUUUUUCGACUUUGAUGGAAUGACUACAGGUUGGCGGUUCAACACUGAUGUCUCUCUAGGCUUGAGGGAGAGCUCACAAGUAAAUUACACCAAUGUCCUACAGCAAUUGGGAAUACACUUUCAUUUAGUCUACCUGACCAGGGACAUCUUUGAACUAUAGGUCACCUAACCCAAACUUUUCACUCUUGUUAGGUUGUCCUUUUCUCUUGUUUCAACCCGAAAGGGCUGAAAUAUCAACAUUUCAGGUAUUCUGUUUGGAUAAUGUGCAAAACUUGUGGCUACACUAAUAAAAAAAAUUAACAAAUGUAUUUUUCUUAAUGUGGUUAAACUAUUUAAAGAUUUGUAUGCAAAAUAUUUCUGCUCAAUUUGUGGUCAAUGAAACUCUGAAAUUUAAUUUUUAAAGAAAGUUUCCAUGGAAGCUCUUGGCUGCUGGUUCCCAACACAGCUCCACUGUUAGCCUGUGACCUUGCGUUUAACUUUUUUUGAUUUUUGGUGACUUUCACAAAAGAGAAAUUAACUGGUUAAUACAAUAAACAAGACAUUUUAUGGUACCAUUUUGAACUUUUUGUGGAUAUUGCAUUAAAUCCAUAUGCUUGAAACUUUUCAAUAAUGCAUAUCAACGAAAAAAUGGAAUGAAAUAAAUCAAGCAAUUUGUGGGACUUGGCUGCUUU